UACGAAGGGGGCUAGCGUUGCUCGGAAUCACUGGGCGUAAAGGGUGCGUAGGCGGGUCUUUAAGUCAGGGGUGAAAUCCUGGAGCUCAACUCCAGAACUGCCUUUGAUACUGAGGAUCUUGAGUUCGGGAGAGGUGAGUGGAACUGCGAGUGCAGAGGUGAAAUUCGUAGAUAUUCGCAAGAACACCAGUGGCGAAGGCGGCUCACUGGCCCGAUACUGACGCUGAGGCACGAAAGCUGGGGGAGCGAACAGG
rnacentral:rRNA from 1 species